GAUGAACGCUGGCGGCGUGCCUAAUACAUGCAAGUCGAGCGAACGGACGAGAAGCUUGCUUCUCUGAUGUUAGCGGCGGACGGGUGAGUAACACGUGGAUAACCUACCUAUAAGACUGGGAUAACUUCGGGAAACCGUAGCUAAUACCGGAUAAUAUUUUGAACCGCAUGGUUCAAAAGUGAAAGACGGUCUUGCUGUCACUUAUAGAUGGAUCCGCGCUGCAUUAGCUAGUUGGUAAGGUAACGGCUUACCAAGGCAACGAUGCAUAGCCGACCUGAGAGGGUGAUCGGCCACACUGGAACUGAGACACGGUCCAGACUCCUACGGGAGGCAGCAGUAGGGAAUCUUCCGCAAUGGGCGAAAGCCUGACGGAGCAACGCCGCGUGAGUGAUGAAGGUCUUCGGAUCGUAAAACUCUGUUAUUAGGGAAGAACAUAUGUGUAAGUAACUGUGCACAUCUUGACGGUACCAAUCAGAAAGCCACGGCUAACUACGUGCCAGCAGCCGCGGUAAUACGUAGGUGGCAAGCGUUAUCCGGAAUUAUUGGGCGUAAAGCGCGCGUAGGCGGUUUUUUAAGUCUGAUGUGAAAGCCCACGGCUCAACCGUGGAGGGUCAUUGGAAACUGGAAAACUUGAGUGCAGAAGAGGAAAGUGGAAUUCCAUGUGUAGCGAUGAAAUGCGCAGAGAUAUGGAGGAACACCAGUGGCGAAGGCGACUUUCUGGUCUGUAACUGACGCUGAUGUGCGAAAGCGUGGGGAUCAAACAGGAUUAGAUACCCUGGUAGUCCACGCCGUAAACGAUGAGUGCUAAGUGUUAGGGGGUUUCCGCCCCUUAGUGCUGCAGCUAACGCAUCAAGCACUCCGCCUGGGGAGUACGACCCGCAGGUUG
rnacentral:rRNA from 1 species